GUUCCUGCGGAGGCUGAGCUGUCCUGCCCGAGCCAGGAGCGCCCGCUACCUGCAAACUCAAGAAAAGAAGAGAUCUGUAAUUCUUCAUCACUGGUUUUAUUAGAGAUCAGAAGAGAGCAGGACAACAAUGACACCAUUAGAAUCAUCUGGAGGAAAGCAUGAGUAAAGAGAAGGAGAGACCAAAGAAUUUUCUGAGGUUCCACAGUCUCCUCUAUUGCUAGCAUAUUCUGCUGUAGCAUUUACACCUAGAGCAUUUUCCAGACCAUCUGGAGCAAAGCUGUGUGCAAAGGAAUAAAUCGACACAGACACUGUGAUCUUCAUGUAAAUCUGUUUCACGAGCCCCUCUAUCAGUC